rnacentral:tRNA from 1 species
GCCUUCGUGGUGUAACGGUAGCACACUCGGCUCAUAUUCGAGAGGUCCAGGUUCGAGUCCCGGCGAGGGCA